UACGUAGGGGGCAAGCGUUGUCCGGAAUCAUUGGGCGUAAAGAGCGUGUAGGCGGCCAGAACAGUCCGCUGUGAAAACUCGAGGCUCAACUUCGAGCUGUCGGUGGAAACUUUCUGGCUAGAGUCCGGAAGAGGAGAAUGGAAUUCCUGGUGUAGCGGUGAAAUGCGCAGAUAUCAGGAAGAACACCCGUGGCGAAGGCGGUUCUCUGGGACGGUACUGACGCUGAGACGCGAAAGCGUGGGGAGCAAACAGG
rnacentral:rRNA from 1 species